GACAGAGGUGCCAAGCGUUAGGCGGAAUCACUGGGCUUAAAGCGUGUGUAGGUGGAUGCCUAAGUGCCUUGUGAAAUCCCACGGCUCAACCGUGGAAUUGCUGGGCAUACUGGGUGUCUUGAGCCAUCCAGGGGUCGCUGGAACAAACGGUGGAGCGGUGAAAUGCGUAGAUAUCGUUUGGAACGCCAAUGGUGAAAACAGGCGACUGGGGAUGAGCUGACACUGAGACACGAAAGCCAGGGGAGCAAGCGGG
rnacentral:rRNA from 1 species